rnacentral:rRNA from 1 species
UGGGGAAUAUUGGACAAUGGGCGAAAGCCUGAUCCAGCCAUGCCGCGUGUGUGAAGAAGGCCUUUUGGUUGUAAAGCACUUUAAGCGAGGAGGAGGCUACUUGGAUUAAUACUCUAGGAUAGUGGACGUUACUCGCAGAAUAAGCACCGGCUAACUCUGUGCCAGCAGCCGCGGUAAUACAGAGGGUGCGAGCGUUAAUCGGAUUUACUGGGCGUAAAGCGUGCGUAGGCGGCUUUUUAAGUCGGAUGUGAAAUCCCUGAGCUUAACUUAGGAAUGGCAGUCGAUACUGGGAAGCGAGAGUAUGGGAGAGGAUGGUAGAAUUCCAGGUGUAGCGGGGAAAUGCGUAGAGAUCUGGAGGAAUACCGAUGGCGAAGGCAGCCAUCUGGCCUAAUACUGACGCUGAGGUACGAAAGCAUGGGGAGCAAACA